rnacentral:rRNA from 1 species
GACGAACGCUGGCGGCGUGCUUAACACAUGCAAGUCGAACGAAGUGGCGAACGGGUGCGUAAUAGGUGGUUACACUGCCCUACUUUUCGGGAUAAGCCUUGGAAACGGGGUCUAAUACCGACUAAAGGGGGAUGGGCUCGCGGCCUAUCAGCUUGGUGGGGGGGUGAUGGGCUACCAAGGCGGUGACGGGUAGCCGGCCUGAGCGGCUGACCUGGGACAGUGGGACUGCGAUACGGCCCAGACUCCGAAGGGGUGGAGCAGUGGGGGAUAUGGCACAAUGGGCGAAAGCCUGCUGCAGCGAGGCCGCGUGGGGUAUUAAGGCUGUCGGGCUGUAAUGCUCUUUCGCUAUCGAGCGGGUAGGUAGAGAAGAAGCGCCGGCUAACUACGUGCCAGCAGCCGCGGUAAUUC